rnacentral:lncRNA from 1 species
AUGUUUUGGCCAUCAUGGAACAUCCUGGAACAGAGAAGGCCCAAUCAUUUACACCACAACAGCAGGAGCUAUCCGCAAGCAGGAGCUGUGAAUAGAUGUCCUAAGUGUCCCAGUAUAGUGCUGCCAGAUACUAUAUGCACAAAUAAAGUGGAGUUUAACAAGCUGUGCCCAAAGUCACACAUCCAGCAAGUGACAAAGAGAAAGCUCGGACCCAGACCCGCCUGGCUCAGAAGCCCAGAUUUGAAGCACUACCUUCUAAUACCUCCCUUAUGCCCUAUGGGGCCUACAGCAGAAGACAACCUCAGCUUAUGA